CACCCUCCCGCCCCGCAAGGCCCCCCGGGAGGGCGGUGGGCGCGCGGGUCCGUGCGUGUCCCGGCGCUGCUCGGGACCGCUCAUCUUGCUCUUGAUUUACGUGGUGGGGUUGCGACACUGGAGCCAGUAGGAAAGAGAAGCACAAGUGCUUUUUUAGGGCCUUCAGGCAGCAGAUGCCUAGUUGCUUAUCAUGAGGGACAGCAAGGCAGCCACUAUGGAAAGGAGUGCACCCGCUGGAGAAGCCCUGUUCCUUUUUUGGCCUAGAACCCUAAUACAUCUACCUUCCCAUAAACAGCUGGUUCAGAUGCCACCCAUGUCAAGCUGGUGGCUGUUAAUUCAGCAAAUUCAAUUUUCCAAGUGAAGAAAGUUGCCCUUGCAUCAAGCUCAUGAAUAUAAUGCCUGUUGGUGGAUAUAAUUCUUCCAUUAUAAGCUUCAUCCAUCAUGCCACGGCAAGUGGCCAGAGCUGUGAGCUUGAACAUGGCAAAGACUGGUGACUGAAGAGGUCAUAUGUUCCAGAAGCACCUACAAGGUGGUAGAAUUUCCAUCAACCUGAUCCUUGAUGAAUGAAGCCCUCUGAUAACCCAUGAGGGACAGGAAUUGGCUUACGUGAUCAUGGAGGUGGAGAAGUCCCAAGAUCUGCAGUCAGCAAGCUGGAGGGUUGAUAUGCCAGGAGAGUCAAUGGCAUAUAGUUCCACCCUGAAGUGGUGGAACUGGUCUGAAGGCCUGAGAAGCAGCAGAGUCAUGGUGUGCUCUGCAAGUUUGUUGCAUAAAGAGGAGGAAUGAUUUGGGUCUGGUGCCAUUAUGAUGAUUUCUUCUGAAGCCCUGCUUCCUGUCCUUCCCCCAUGUGACUGGGCCGUAGCUGAUUGGAAUGGAGAGGGCAUCUGAUCCAAGGGCAGACAAUCCAUAGACUGUUCUGUGACAUUUCUGUAAUCCAGCAUGAAAAGAAGGACUGGGCCAUUUUGACAGCUUAAAGCCUGUCAUUGGGAAAUUAAGAGACUGAACCAAUUGGUAGUGGGGCAGAAACUACAAGGAAGUGUUGAGAGUUCUCAAGGUUUAGAAGGUAUUGGGAGUGGCCACCCUGUACUGUUUGCUAGCUGAGACUAUGAGGGAAUGGAAACUGAAUACCCAGAGGAAGCAGGGCAGUGGAGAGAAGGGAAACCGAAAAGAGAAGCUACAACACUGAUAGAAAGAGAAAGUUAUUGAGUUUAGAGCUUUCUUGUUUUCUGAUAGCUAUCAAGUGAUCAAUGAGUAUCCUUUAAAGAUUUUCUUUUCUUGGGGUAGCUUGAGUAGAUCUCUAGUCCUCUAGUCCUUUUAAGCAGACAGACAUUUCUGGGGCCAUAUUAUGAAGAACUUUGGAUAUUAGGGCAAGACCUUUGUAAUUUGCUAGGCAAGGGAUAAAUAUUAACAAUUUUUUGGAUAUGAAGUAAUAUAUCAGACCAUAUAUUAAGUGAAGAUUAAGAUUAGUAGUAGUUUGUAGGAGAGAUGGAGACACUGAUUUGAAAGCUAUUACAAUAAAAUACAUGGAAAGUAAUUAAUGCCUUGAGGAUAUGACAGAAGGAAGGUACAUGUGUAGAUAGACGUAAAACCUAUAAUAAAGGCAGGAUCAAAAACAUGAUAACUUAUUGGAUAUAGGACACAAGGAAAAGAACAGGUUGAGUUGAAGCUGAGAUCUUGAGUCUUGGGGAUUAGAAGUUGGUAAUAUCAGUAAGAGAAAUAGGAAAGUUGGGAGGCUGGAUUGUUUUGGAUUGUGGAAGACCAGACAGCUGUUAAUUUUGUGUCAAUUGCAUUUCAGGUGAUGGUUGGGAAAUACUAUCUAGUUCACCUUAAGUAAGUUAUGUUGAGUUCCUAAAGCUUGUUCCAGGUUUUGGAUGGUGGAGAUGGGGGAGGGGGUUGAAGUACAGAAAUUAAUAAAAUAUGGUUUGUGCCUUUGAGGAAAUCCUACCUAGUAUUAUGGGUGAAGUUAUCUGUCAGGUAGAGAUGUGCAUGUGGAGCUUGGGAGAGAACCGUUGGAUUGGAGAUCCAAAUGUCAAUAGAGCCCCAAAGAACUGGAUUGUCAAAGGAUAGAGUUAGGGAGUAUGAAGACGAGAACCAAGGCUAAAA